UACGGAGGAUCCAAGCGUUAUCCGGAAUCAUUGGGUUUAAAGGGUCCGUAGGUGGAUAAUUAAGUCAGAGGUGAAAUCCUGCAGCUCAACUGUAGAAUUGCCUUUGAAACUGGUUAUCUUGAGUCAUUAUGAAGUGAUUAGAAUGUGUAGUGUAGCGGUGAAAUGCAUAGAUAUUACACAGAAUACCGAUUGCGAAGGCAGAUCACUAAUAAUGUACUGACACUGAUGGACGAAAGCGUGGGUAGCGAACAGG
rnacentral:rRNA from 1 species